UAUGACCAAGGCAAGAGAGGAGAGUUUCAAGAAUAAAGAAAUAAGAGAGCUAAUAGAAGUCUAGGAAGGACUGAGAGAAGACCUCUGGAAAACUGAUCUUCAGAGAAUGAUCUUUGCAGGAAAUCUCUGUUACCUGAAGAUGAAAAGGAAUGUGAACCAACUCUGAUCCCAAUUCAGACCUUCGCCAACUGACAGUUCAGUUGCCAGCACUACAGGAAAGAGAAGCCUGGAAGUACAUUAUGGGAAAAGAAGUAGAUAGGUCUUCAGUGUAAAAUCUGAAGGGGUCAUGUGAGUAUUUUUAAGGAUUCAAUAAUAUACAUAAACACAAAUAAAAACACAGUAUAU
rnacentral:lncRNA from 10 species